AUGAACGCUGGCGGCGUGCCUAAUACCUGCAAGUCGAGCGAACAGAUGAGGAGCUUGCUCCUCUGACGUUAGCGGCGGACGGGUGAGUAACACGUGGAUAACCUACCUAUAAGGCUGGGAUAACUUCGGGAAACCGGAGCUAAUACCGGAUAAUAUAUUGAACCGCAUGGUUCAAUAGUGAAAGACGGUUUUGCUGUCACUUAUAGAUGGAUCCGCGCCGCAUUAGCUAGUUGGUAAGGUAACGGCUUACCAAGGCAACGAUGCGUAGCCGACCUGAGAGGGUGAUCGGCCACACUGGAACUGAGACACGGUCCAGACUCCUACGGGAGGCAGCAGUAGGGAAUCUUCCGCAAUGGGCGAAAGCCUGACGGAGCAACGCCGCGUGAGUGAUGAAGGUCUUCGGAUCGUAAAACUCUGUUAUUAGGGAAGAACAAAUGUGUAAGUAACUAUGCACGUCUUGACGGUACCUAAUCAGAAAGCCACGGCUAACUACGUG
rnacentral:rRNA from 1 species